rnacentral:rRNA from 1 species
UACGAAGGGGGCUAGCGUUGCUCGGAAUUACUGGGCGUAAAGCGCACGUAGGCGGCUCUUUAAGUCGGGGGUGAAAUCCUGGAGCUCAACUCCAGAACUGCCUUCGAUACUGUAGAGCUUGAGUUCGGGAGAGGUGAGUGGAACUGCGAGUGUAGAGGUGAAAUUCGUAGAUAUUCGCAAGAACACCAGUGGCGAAGGCGGCUCACUGGCCCGAUACUGACGCUGAGGCACGAAAGCGUGGGGAGCAAACAGGG